GACGAACCGUGCGAACGUUAUUCGGAAUCACUGGGCUUAAAGCGCGUGUAGGCGGCCAGGUAGGUCCGGUGUGAAAACUCGAGGCUCAACCUCGAGAGGUCAUCGGAAACCAUCUGGCUAGAGUCCGGAAGAGGAGAGUGGAAUUCCCGGUGUAGCGGUGAAAUGCGCAGAUAUCGGGAAGAACACCUAUGGCGAAGGCAGCUCUCUGGGACGGUACUGACGCUGAGACGCGAAAGCGUGGGGAGCGAACAGG
rnacentral:rRNA from 1 species